rnacentral:lncRNA from 1 species
CAGAAUGUGUUGUAACCAAAAGAUUCCAAUUUUGAUAUAGAUUUCAUCAGUAUAAAAACUUUUUGGAUCGUAGAUGGAGGCCAAGGUUAAUUAUGCCAAAAACAAUAAAAAUUAUGGACAAAAAGUACCAAAAAUGACCUUUUAAUACAAAUUAUGCUCAUUUAAGGGGUCAUUGCUCCAUAAAUAGUAAAGAAAAGUGCCAGAAAAAUAUUUUUGUCUUAGUAGUAUUAUCACAAGUAUUUCUAUGUGACAUUUGUAAUUUUUUGCUCCAAUUUAAAAAACAUAAAAAAA